GACGUAGGGCGCGAGCGUUGUCCGGAUUUAUUGGGCGUAAAGAGCUCGUAGGCGGCUUGUCGCGUCGACCGUGAAAACUUGGGGCUCAACCCCAAGCCUGCGGUCGAUACGGGCAGGCUAGAGUUCGGUAGGGGAGACUGGAAUUCCUGGUGUAGCGGUGAAAUGCGUAGAUAUCGGAAGGAACACCAGUGGCGAAAGCGGCUUCCUGGUCCAGCACCGACGUUCAGGCACGAAAGCGUGGGGAGCAAACAGG
rnacentral:rRNA from 1 species